CUAAAGUGUUCCUGGUUCCCUAAGAGUUGCCUAUGGAAGGCAACUACGCAGGGUUCCAUUCUUCUUGUUCUGAUGCCAACCUCUCUUAGGAGAGUAGUCAUUGCAACCAUCUACCUCAUGUAUAUUCUUAUCUGGAGAACCUGUGACCCUGUUGAACUCCAGCUCCCAGUUAGCCUCAACCAGGAUGGCCAAUGGUCAGGGAUGAUGGAGUCUAGCAACAUCCGGAAGGCCACCAGUUCUAUAACUUUGUGGUAGAGUGUUACCUAGUGAACCAAGGCCUACGAAUGACCUAUGAAUCUGACUGUCUGAUCUUAAAAAAAUUAAAAUGGGACAUCUGAAGAA